rnacentral:rRNA from 1 species
AUUCUCCUACGGGAGGCAGCAGUAGGGAAUCUUCCACAAUGGGCGAAAGCCUGAUGGAGCAACGCCGCGUGGGUGAAGAAGGUCUUCGGAUCGUAAAACCCUGUUGUUAGAGAAGAAAGUGCGUGAGAGUAACUGUUCACGUCUCGACGGUAUCUAGCCAGAAAGCCACGGUUAACUACGUGCCAGCAGCCGCGGUAAUACGUAGGUGGCAAGCGUUAUCCGGAUUUAUUGGGCGUAAAGGGAACGCAGGCGGCCUUUU